rnacentral:rRNA from 1 species
GACGAACGCUGGCGGCGUGCUUAACACAUGCAAGUCGAACGGUAAGGCCCUUCGGGGUACACGAGUGGCGAACGGGUGAGUAACACGUGGGUGAUCUGCCCUGCACUUCGGGAUAAGCCUGGGAAACUGGGUCUAAUACCGGAUAGGACUCCGGACUGCAUGGUCUGGGGUGGAAAGCUUUUGCGGUGUGGGAUGGGCCCGCGGCCUAUCCGCUUGUUGGUGGGGUGAUGGCCUACCAAGGCGACGACGGGUAGCCGGCCUGAGAGGGUGACCGGCCACGCUGGGACUGAGAUACGGCCCAGACUCCUACGGGAGGCAGCAGUGGGGAAUAUUUCACAAUGGGCGCAAGCCUGAUGCAGCGACGCCGCGUGAGGGAUGACGGCCUUCGGGCUGUAAACCUCUUUCAGCAUCGACGAAGCGAAAGUGACGGUAGGUGCAGAAGAAGGACCGGCCAACUACGUGCCAGCCGCCGCCGUAA